CAGACAUGUAGCGGAAAUGCCAGGUUUUGUUUACAUUUUGUUUUGUUCACAACGUGUACAUUUGGCUCCGUCCUUAAGGGGUUAAAUCACUUUGUUUCUGUUUAUGCAGCCCUAACCACACCUCCCCUGGCUAUGAUUGACAGAGCCUGCAUGAAAAAAAAACUGGUUUCACUUUCAAACAGAUGUAAUUUACCUUAAAUAAUUGUAUCUCAAUCUCUAAAUUGAACUUUAAUCACAUACAGGAGGCUCUUGCAGGGUCUAGCAAGCUAUUAACAUAGCAGGGGAUAAGAAAAUCUUAAUUAAACAGAACUUGCAAUAAAGAAAGCCUAAAUAGGGCUCUCUUUACAGGAAGUGUUUAUGGAAGGCUGUGCAAGUCACAUGCAGGGAGGUGUGAUUAGGGUUCAUAAACAAAGGGAUUUAACUCCU